rnacentral:rRNA from 1 species
CACCCAUGCAUGUUUUUGACAUUUGAAAAAUGGACUGCUCAGUAAUACUCACUUUAUUUUAUGUAAAUUUUUAAUUAACUACGUUAAAGUGUAGAUAAGAUGUUUACAGUAAGAGUGAGACCUAUCAGCUAGUUGUUAAGGUAAUGGCUUAACAAGGCUGUGACGGGUAACGGUAUUACUUUGUAAUAUUCCGGAGAAGGAGCCUGAGAGACGGCUACUAACUCUAAGGAUUGCAGCAGGGGCGAAACUUGACCUAUGGAUUUUAUYUGAGGCAGUUAUGGGAAGUAAUAUUAUAUUGUUUCAUAUUUUAAAAGUAUAUGAGGUGAUUAAUUGGAGGGCAAAUCAAGUGCCAGCAGCCGCGGUAAUACUUGUUCCCAAGAGUGUGUAUGAUGAUUGAUGCAGUUAAAAAGUCCGUACUUUAUUUUUUUAUUAAGCAA